rnacentral:rRNA from 1 species
AUUAUUUAAUUGUAAUAAGUAAUAAUUGAAUAAAUACAAAAAUUACCUUUAUAUAAAAACGCAAUUAAGCAGACAGAUUAUUCCACGAACUAACAACGGCCAUGCACUACUUAUCACAUAAUCAUAAAAGAACUAUCAUUCUAUAUUUAAACAUAAAAAAAUAUUUAAAUAUCUGUCAAUCCUUAAUAUGUCCUGACCCGGUAAGAUUUUCUGUGUUGGGUCAAAUUAAGCCACAUGUUCCACGCGUUCUGGUGGUGCCCUUCCGUCAAUUCCUUCAAGUUUCACACGUGCGU